rnacentral:lncRNA from 1 species
UACCCAUGCAUGGUAUGACAUUUAUACAUAUAUGCAUGACAUUAUAAUAUUAAUGAUUCACAGAGUUAUUCAGACAUACAUGUCGACUCUUUUACUCCAUGUUUUUCUCAUGCCUAUGGUUUACUGAUUUUCAUUCCAUACAUACUCGGUACAUUAUUUGUACUGACGUCCCUUUUACCUGAGGAUACUGUGUUUUAUGCCCGCAGGUUCGGAUAGACAGGUCGAGAGUCCUCCAAGUAGGCUAUCAGCUCAGCAGAAGAUGUUGGUGCGCUCCAUUUGCUCCGGAGUUGCUAUUGGUCAGUAUGAUUAGGACAUGUGUUGAUUGGUAUGGCGGGGCUUUGUCCCGACCUUUAUGACAUUUAUGUAUCCUUAGAGGCUUGUGGACAUAUGUCGUGUACGUGAAUGAUUGUACGGCCUUAUCGGCCUAUGUUCAGUGCAAUUUUGGUCUUAUAGGCCCUAUGUCACAUGUAUAAGUUUUUAUGUCAGAUUGGG